rnacentral:lncRNA from 1 species
CAGCAGAAUAAGUCUUAAGGAGAAUAAAACAAUAAAAGCAGAGGAAUAAUGAGACAGAAAAUAAACAGUAGAAAAGGUCAGUAAAGUUAAAAGUUUAACAUUGUGGUUCAGGCCUGUAAUCUCAGCACUUUGGGAAGCUGAGGCAGGCAGAUCACUUGAGAUCAGGAGUUUGAGACCAGUCUGAGCAACAUGGUGAAACCCCAUCUCUACAAAAAACACAAAAAUUAGCUGGGCUUGGUGGUGGCAUGUGACUGUAGUCCCAGUUACUAAGGAGGCUGAGGUGGGAGGAUCACUUGAGCCUGGGAGGUUGAGGCUGUAGUAAACCAUCAUGCCACUGCAUUCCAGCCUGGGCGACAGAGUGAGACCCUAUCUCAAAAAAAAAAAAAAAAAAAAGUUUAACAUCAAAAAGACUAACAAAACAAACAAAACUUAGGUAAUAUGAUCAAUAAAAAGAAGAUUCAGAUCAAUGACAUUAGAGAUCUUAAAAGUUAUAUAUAUAUGUAUGUGUGUGUGUGUGUGUGUGUAUGUAUUUUUUUUUUUUUUUUCCUGAGACAGAGUCUCACUAUGUAGCCCAGGCUGGAGUGCAAUGGUGGGAUCCUGGCUCGCUGCAACCUCCACCUCCCAGGUUCAAGCGCUUCUCAUCCCUCACUCAGCCUCUCCAGUAGCUGGGAUUACAGGUGUGAGCCACAGUUCCUGGUCCAAAGUGAUAUGUUUAAAUCUAUGGCAGAGGGUUAAAAGAUGAGAAAACUAUAAGCAACUUAGUGCCAAUAAAUUUGAUACAGACAAAUUAGAUGAUAUUAUAGAAAAACAUAAUUUACCAAAAACUACCUCAAGAAGAAAGAAAAAACCUAAAUAGUCCUAUAUAUACAGAAUAACUCUAUUUAUGGCUGGGCAUGGUGGCUCAUGCCUGUAAUCCCAGCACUUUGGGAGGCCCAGGCGGGUGGAUUACGAGGUCAGGAGUUCAAGACCAGCCUGGCCAAGAUGGUGAAAUGCUGUCUUUACUAAAAAUACAAAAAAAUAGCCAGGUGUGGUGGUGGGCACCUGUAAUCCCAGCUACUCGGAGGCUGAGGCAGAGAACUGCUUGAACCCGGGAGGCAGAAGUUGCAGUGACCUGAGACUGCACCACUGCACUCCUUCUUGGGCAACAGAGUGAGACUCCAUUUCAGGAAAAAAAAGAAAAAGAAAGAAUAACUAUUUAUUAUUAUCCAAACCAGUAUAUCUUUUAAAGUGAAAGGGAGUACCAUUUAUAAAUAUGCCAGGAUAACAGCUAUAACCUGGCACUAGCCCAAGCAAACAAGGACAUAUGGUCUAUUUAUCUAUAGUCAUAAACACAAAUUAAAUCAGUAAUUUAAAAUCUUCUUACAAAGAAAACAGACUCAGAAUGUUUUACAGGAAUAUUCUAUCAAACAUUAAAGAAAGCAUCAAUUCCAAUUUUAUGUUGACUUUCAUAGGUAUUAAAAAAGAAAUACUGCCAACUCAGUCAGCGAGGUUAGUAAAAUCUUAAUUCCAAACCAGCCAAACAUAGUAUGAGAAAGAAAAAUUAAAGGUUAAUGUCACUAAUGAGCAUAUAUGCUGACACCUUGCUCAAAAUAUAAGCAAACCAAACCCAGCAGUGUAUUAACAAGAUAAUGUAUCAUGUCCUAAUUGGAUUUAUCCCAGAAAUGCAAAGAAAAUUUAACAUAAAAAAUUACUGGGGCGAGGUGUGGUGGCUCAGGCCUGUAAUCCCAGAAUUUUGGGAAGCCAGGGCGGGUGGAUAAUUUGAGGUCUGGAGUUUGAAACCAGCCUGAGCAGCAUGGUGAAACCCUGCCUCUACUAAAAAUACAAAAAUUAGUUGGGCGUGGUGGUGCACGCCUGUAGUCCUAGCCACUUGGAGGCCGAGGCAUGAGAAUCGCUUAAACCUGGGAGGCGGAGGUUGCUAUGAGCUGAGAUCGUGCCACUGCCCUCCAGCCUGGGAGACAGAGUGAGACCCUGUCUCAAAAAAAAAAAAAAAAAAAAAAAAAAGAAUUAAUGUAGGCCAAUUGCAUUGGCUCAUUCCUGUAAUCUCAGAACUUGAGGAGCCCAAGGUAGGAGAAUCACUUGAGCUAGGAAUUUUGAUAACCCUCGGCAACAUGGUGAGGCCCCAUUUCUUAUUUUUUUGAGAUAAGAGUUUUGCUCGUUGCCCAGGCUGGAGUGCAAAGGCGCAAUCUCAGCUCACUGCAAUGUCCACCUCCCAGAUUCAGGCGAUUCUCAUGCCUCAGCCUCGCAAGCAGCUGGGAUUACAGGCACCCGCCACCAUGCCUGGCUAAUUUUUUGUAUUUUUAGUAGAGACGGGGUUUCACCAUGUUGGCCAGGCUAGUCGAACUCCUGACCUCAGGUGAUCACCCGCCUCAGCCUCCCAAAGUGUUGGGAUUACGGGUAUGAGCAACCGCGCCCAGCCUGAGACCCCAUUUCUACACAAAAAAUUUUUUUUUAAUUAGCAGGGUGUGGUGUUGUGUGCCUGUGGUCCCAGCUACUUGGGAGGCUGAGGGGGUAGGAUUCCUUGUGCACCAGAGCUCAAGGCUACAGUGAGCUAUGAUUGCACCGUGGCACUACAGCCUGAGUGCAGACCAAGACCCUGUCUUAAAAUAAUAAUAAUAAUUAUUAUUAAUGUAACUUAUAACACUCAUAGAUGAAAAACAAAAACUCACAUCAUCUCAUCUCAAUAGAUGUAGAAAAAGCAUGUGAUAAGAUUUAACAACAUUAAGGUAGAUUUAGAGGUUUAAAAAAAAAAGAUUUAACAACAAACUAGAAAUAAAGGAAACUUCCUUUAUCUAUUAAAGAGCAUCUACCCUAAACCUACAGCAAUCAUUAUUAUGAGUGGGAAGCCAUUAGAAGCAUUAUCCUUUAAGUUCAGGAGUAGGGCAAGGAUGCCUGCUGUCCUUGCUUCUAGCUGACAUUAAAUUGGAGGCUCUAGCAAAACACAAAACAAAGGAAAAUAAAUGAAAGGUAUAGAAUUGAAAAAAAACAACUUCAUUAUUAAUAGAUGAUAUGACUAUCUACGUGGAAUCUCUUCAAGUCCACAAAUUAUUAAAAUUAAUUAGGCAGCCAGGCGCGGUGGCCCAUGCCUGUAAUCCCAGCACUUUGG